rnacentral:lncRNA from 1 species
AGUUUUGUUGUAAAUAUUUGUUAUGUCAUUAGCCUUCAUUAGCCAUUUUAAAAUCUCAAAAUCUCUACUGAUUAUUCAGGUUGGCAGUCACCUAGAAAGUUUGGUUAGUUAACUUAUACUUUAAGAGUUUUAUUUUUUUCUCAACUUUUAAAGUUUGCAAAGUACAUGUUAUCUGGUAAUUAUAGCUUACCAAGAAUAUAUAUAUUAAAUAAUUUAUUUCCCUUAGGUACAAUCAGCAAUCUUCACGUUUCAUAAUUAAUUAUCUCUUCUCGUUACCACUGGUGUUGAUCGAUGGUAGGUAUAAAUACCAUAUAAUAUAUCAAUGUCCCCUGUGCAUUCCUACUUGAACAGAAUACACAAUCGAUUUUUAUCUCCAAUGUAAACACAUUGGUGUUUCUACUUCCG